rnacentral:rRNA from 1 species
AUUGAACGCUGGCGGAAUGCUUUACACAUGCAAGUCGAGCGGCAGCGCGGGGGCAACCCUGGCGGCGAGCGGCGAACGGGUGAGUAAUACAUCGGAACAUGUCCAGUUGUGGGGGAUAGCCCGGCGAAAGCCGGAUUAAUACCGCAUGAGCUCUGGCGAGGAAAGCGGGGGACCCGUAAGGGCCUCGCGCGACUGGGUUGGCCGAUGUCCGAUUAGCUAGUUGGUGGGUAAAGCNCACCAAGGCGAUGAUCGGUAGCUGGUCUGAGAGGAUGAUCAGCCACACUGGGACUGAGACACGGGCCCAGACUCCUACGGGAGGCAGCAGUGGGGAAUUUUGGACAAUGGGGAAACCCUGAUCCAGCCAUUCCGCGUGAGUGAAGAAGGCCU